rnacentral:rRNA from 1 species
GACAGAGGUGCCGAGCGUUAGGCGGAAUCACUGGGCUUAAAGCGUGUGUAGGCGGAUCUGUAAGUACCUUGUGAAAUCCCACGGCUCAACCGUGGAACUGCUUGGUAUACUGCGGGUCUUGAGCCACCUAGGGGCAAGUGGAACAAACGGUGGAGCGGUGAAAUGCGUAGAUAUCGUUUGGAACGCCAAAGGUGAAAACAGCUCGCUGGGGUUGUGCUGACGCUGAGACACGAAAGCCAGGGGAGCGAACGGG